AGUGGCGCUUCUCGGGUGCUGUGCUUCACGCUUUGGUACUAAAGGCCGAGACUGUUCUGGCGACGGCGACCUCUACGGCAACAGCUUAAGCUCUCGG
rnacentral:miRNA from 1 species